AUGAUGGCCUCCGGCUCGAGUUCAUCAACCGCUGGAGAAGGUAGGUUUACCGGAUUACUAGCCUACUCCGAUCCAAUGGAUAUAACAAUGGUAUCAGGCCAGGCUAGGGUAAGGUUUUCGAUACAAAGAACAAACAGAGAAAGAAAGAUCCCUCCCUCCCCCAGAACCCUAGACAGGGCAAAGAAAUCUCAAAGAAAUGUUGCGCCGCCGCACAUGGCCGCGCCGUUCCUCUCGAUCCCGAAUCGCAUCGGCAUGCCAAGGAUCCGGGAAGAAGAACCACCCCAUGGGGCAAAGGGCACCACCAGCGAGCCGUUUGAUGGUGGUGCGUUGACCUUCGAGGUGCUCACGCACGCCAGCAAAAAGGUCAGCAGGGGCGCUGCAUCAGAAAGUCUCUGGAUCUCUCUCUCUCUCUCUAUUGCUGCGGGGGGUGAGCAGAGAACUGGAAAGAAAGGGGCGGGACUCGCGGUGCGGUUGCUGAUUGGCCUCGUCGCCGGCGGCCGGGGCAGCCCGAACCCGCCGCCAUUCGAGCUGACAGAGCAGCAGAGGAGGACCCAGGUCGCGCCUCUGUCUCUCUCUAUCGCAGGAAGCGGUGGGGGAUGGGUGAAAUGGAGGGGGGAAAGGAAGAGAUGGUGGCCAGGCUCGCGUGGCGCGGUGGUGGAUGCCGUCGCCGGCGGCCGGCGCUCUCGCGCGGUGGAUGGACGGCCAGAGCGAGCACUGCAGAGAGCGAGGGAGUAG
rnacentral:rRNA from 1 species